AACGAACGCUGGCGGCAUGCCUAACACAUGCAAGUCGAACGAGACCUUCGGGUCUAGUGGCGCACGGGUGCGUAACGCGUGGGAACCUGCCCUUAGGUUCGGAAUAACUCCCCGAAAGGGGUGCUAAUACCGGAUAAUGUCUUCGGACCAAAGAUUUAUCGCCUUUGGAUGGGCCCGCGUUGGAUUAGCUAGUUGGUAGGGUAAAAGCCUACCAAGGCGACGAUCCAUAGCUGGUCUGAGAGGAUGAUCAGCCACACUGGGACUGAGACACGGCCCAGACUCCUACGGGAGGCAGCGGUGGGGAAUAUUGGACAGUGGGCGAGAGCCUGAUCCAGCAAUGCCGCGUGAGUGAUGAAGGCCUUAGGGUUGUAAAGCUCUUUUACCCGGGAUGUUAAUGACAGUACCGGGAGAAUAAGCUCCGGCUAACUCCGUG
rnacentral:rRNA from 1 species